rnacentral:ncRNA from 1 species
GCCGGGAGAGAGCCGAAAGGACACCGAAGGGGAUGAAACUCUCAGGUAAAAGGACCGG